rnacentral:pre_miRNA from 1 species
AAUAGUUUUAUACUGCAUUAGUAUUCUUAUUCUGAAUUUUAGGAUUUUAUCCUGAAAAAAAUUAAAUUCAAAUUAAAAUACUGAAAUUCAGGAUAAGAAUACUGAUGUGGCAUAAAACUAUU